rnacentral:lncRNA from 1 species
AUAUAUAUACUACAAAGAACAUAAAUUCGAUAAAGUAUGGUAUUUCAAAAUAUUCUUAGUAAAACAUGAUAAUCAUAAAGUGUAAAUCUAAUUUACUCAUAAAACGUAACCAUUAAAUCAUGCUUUUCAUGUAUGCAUUUCUACUAUUAAAACAUGUAUUUUAGAAAGGGUCAACUCACAGAUAUUCCGUCGUCGAUGAGUCGUGUGAAAUAGAAAGGAUAGAAUCGUCGCUAAUAGUCGCACCUAAGCACAUACAGGGUCCAAUUAAUAAAACUCUAUUAGAACGAUUGAAUUUCAGG